GAUGAACGCUGGCGGCGUGCCUAAUACAUGCAAGUCGAGCGAACAGACGCGGAGCUUGCUCCUCUGACGUUAGCGGAGGACGGGUGAGUAACACGUGGAUCACCUACCUAUAAUUCUGGGAUAACUUCGGGAAACCGGAGCUAAUACCGGAUAAUAUAUUGAACCGCAUGGUUCAAUAGUGAAAGACGGUUUUGCUGUCACUUCUAGAUGGAUCCCGGCCGCAUUAGCUAGUUGGUAGGGUAACGGCUUACCAAGGCAACGAUGCGUAGCCGACCUGUGAGGGUGAUCGGCCACACUGGAACUGAGACACGGUCCAGACGCCUACGGGAGGCAGCAGUAGGGAAUCGGCCGCAGUGGGCGAAAGCCUGGCGGAGCAGCGCCGCGUGAGUGAUGAAGGUCUUCGGAUCGUAAAACUCUGUUAUGGGGUAAGAACAAAUGUGUAAGUAACUAUGCACGUCUUGACGGUACCGAGUCAGAAAGCAACGGCUAACUACGUG
rnacentral:rRNA from 1 species